rnacentral:rRNA from 1 species
GGUUGUAAACCUCUUUUAGUACGGACGAAGCGCAAGUGACGGUAUGUGCAGAAAAAGGACCGGCCAACAACGUGCCAGCAGCCGCGGUAAUACGUAGGGUCCGAGCGUUGUCCGGAAUUAUUGGGCGUAAAGAGCUCGUAGGUGGUUUGUCGCGUUUUUUGUGAAAACUCAAGGCUCAACUUUGGGCCUGCGGUGGAUACGGGCAGACUAGAGUGCUGUAGGGGAGACUGGAAUUCCUGGUGUAGCGGUGGAAUGCGCAGAUAUCAGGAGGAACACCGGUGGCGAAGGCGGUUCUCUGGGCCGUAACUGACGCUGAGGAGCGAUAGCGUGGGGAGCGAACAGGAUUAGAUACCCUGGUAGUCCACGCCGUAAACGUUGGGUACUAGGUGUGGGUUUCCUUCCUUGGUUUCCGUGUCGUAGCUAACGCAUUAAGUACCCCGCCUGGGGAGUACGGCCGCAAGGCCUAAACUCUUAGAAAUUGACGGGGGCCCGCACAAGCGGCGGAGCACGUGGAUUAAUUCGAUGCUACGCGUAUGAACCUUACCUGGGUUUUGACAUGUACUAGAACGUGUCCU